AUUGAACGCUGGCGGCAUGCUUUACACAUGCAAGUCGAACGGUAACAGGCCGCGAGGUGCUGACGAGUGGCGAACGGGUGAGUAAUGCAUCGGAACGUGCCCAGUCGUGGGGGAUAACGCAGCGAAAGCUGCGCUAAUACCGCAUACGAUCUAUGGAUGAAAGCGGGGGACCGUAAGGCCUCGCGCGAUUGGAGCGGCCGAUGUCAGAUUAGGUAGUUGGUGGGGUAAAGGCUCACCAAGCCAACGAUCUGUAGCUGGUCUGAGAGGACGACCAGCCACACUGGGACUGAGACACGGCCCAGACUCCUACGGGAGGCAGCAGUGGGGAAUUUUGGACAAUGGGCGCAAGCCUGAUCCAGCAAUGCCGCGUGCAGGAAGAAGGCCUUCGGGUUGUAAACUGCUUUUGUACGGAACGAAAAGGCUCUGGUUAAUACCUGGGGCUCAUGACGGUACCGUGAGAAUAAGCACCGGCUAACUACGUGCCAGCCGCCGCGGUAAAAC
rnacentral:rRNA from 1 species